rnacentral:misc_RNA from 1 species
CAAUGUGUUAUUUCCAAUUCAAUGAUCUUAUUCAAUUCCGACAACGCAAGGCACCAAAUUGCAGCCAAACAAAGAAAAACCUCAAUAGGAUUAGAUUUAGACACCUUUCCUCAACAAUAAACUUUCACACCUAAAAUCACUAAAACAAGCGCCAACGUAACUAUAGCGUGGAGCUUAAUUUUUCCACGUAUUCCAGAUCUCCCUAUCAAAUUCCCUAUGCCUUCCAUUGCACCCUUCAACAUUUUCAUGGACAAAAGGAAACCUAGGAGUGGCACUGGCGAUUUAUCCACUGUAAAAGCUGCAGCUUGGGCAUGGUACCAGCAUGGUUCAGGGUCUAAUGAAGGGAAGCCCAUCAACGAAUUUGCUGUCACAAGAACUCGCCAAGCUUAUAGACCCUCAAGAUACAAGCUCGAAGCCAUGAAAGUGGUGGAAGAAUGUUCCAUAGAAGAGUCAUCACAAUCACACAACGAAGCUAUUCCAGUCCAUACAGAUAGUAAUUCUCUUCUCGACGCCUAUGAGAUUGAAAGCAUUUCCAAGCGACUUGAUUGUCUUAUAGAGUCUAGUAACAUGUUCUGUGAUAGAGAUAAUGUCUAUGGCGAUGCUCGCCAGAAGAAUAGUAGAAGUGCAAUAAAGAAGAACAACAAGAAUAUCUUGAGAGGGUUAUGGUUGAGGUAUGCAGUUGUUUGUGGCACAAGGGAGGAUGUGGAUACGAGUGCUUUUGUGCGGAGUCGGCCGCCGCCGGCUAUGGCGGCAACGCAUGCUCCAGUAGUCAAGACAGCUGUUUGUAGGCCACGAGCUGCCCAUGCGCAGUGAAUUUUGGAACUAGUUAAUAAAUGGCCAACUACGUAUACACCAACUGUAUUAAUGGAAAUUUCUUUGCAGCUUCAUAGAUGUAUGUUAGACAUAAAUGUAAUUUUGAAAGAGAAAAAUAUGAAUCUAUCCAAUAACUGCUACUUUGCACUAUUUUUAUGAAGGGAUAAAUUUAUUUUAUCUCA